GACGAAUGCUGGCGGCGUGCUUAACACAUGCAGGUCGAACGGAAAGGCCCUGCUUUUGUGGGGUGCUCGAGUGGCGAACGGGUGAGUAACACGUGAGUAACCUGCCCUUGACUUUGGGAUAACUUCAGGAAACUGGGGCUAAUACCGGAUAGGAGCUCCUGCUGCAUGGUGGGGGUUGGAAAGUUUCGGCGGUUGGGGAUGGACUCGCGGCUUAUCAGCUUGUUGGUGGGGUAGUGGCUUACCAAGGCUUUGACGGGUAGCCGGCCUGAGAGGGUGACCGGCCACAUUGGGACUGAGAUACGGCCCAGACUCCUACGGGAGGCAGCAGUGGGGAAUAUUGCACAAUGGGCGGAAGCCUGAUGCAGCAACGCCGCGUGCGGGAUGACGGCCUUCGGGUUGUAAACCGCUUUCGCCUGUGACGAAGCGUGAGUGACGGUAAUGGGUAAAGAAGCACCGGCUAACUACGUG
rnacentral:rRNA from 1 species